GAUGAACGCUAGCUACAGGCUUAACACAUGCAAGUCGAGGGGUAACGAGAGGGAAGCUUGCUUUCCUUGUCGACGACCGGCGGAUGGGUGGGUAACGCGUAUCCAACCUGCCCUUCAGUAAGGGAUAGCCUUUCGAAAGAAAGAAUAAUACCUAAUGUGAUCGUCUGAUGACAUCAGACGACGAUGAAAGAUUUAUCGCUGAAGGAUGGGGAUGCGUCCCAUUAGGCAGUAGGCGGGGUAACGGCCCACCUAACCUACGAUGGGUAGGGGUUCUGAGAGGAAGGCCCCCAACAUUGGAACUGAGACACGGUCCAAACUCCUACGGGAGGCAGCAGUGAGGAAUAUUGGUCAAUGGCCGUAAGGCUGAACCAGCCAAGUAGCGUGCAGGAUGACGGCCCUAUGGGUUGUAAACUGCUUUUAAACGGGGAUAAAGUGAGCCACGUGUGGUUUAUUGCAGGUACCGUUUGAAUAAGGACCGGCUAAUUCCGUGCCAGCCGCCGCAGUAA
rnacentral:rRNA from 1 species